CAUGUAGGCGGUUGUUUAAGUCUGAUGUGAAAGCCCGGGGCUCAACCCCGGAAGUGCAUUGGAAACUGGGCAACUUGAGUACGGGAGAGGAAAGUGGAAUUCCGAGUGUAGGGGUGAAAUCCGUAGAUAUUCGGAGGAACACCAGUGGCGAAGGCGGCUUUCUGGACCGAUACUGACGCUGAGAUGCGAAAGCGUGGGGAGCAAACAGGAUUAGAUACCCUGGUAGUCC
rnacentral:rRNA from 1 species